UAGAGUUUGAUCCUGGCUCAGGAUGAACGCUGGCGGCGUGCUUAACACAUGCAAGUCGAACGAUGAUCCCAGCUUGCUGGGGGAUUAGUGGCGAACGGGUGAGUAACACGUGAGUAACCUGCCCUUGACUCUGGGAUAAGCCUGGGAAACUGGGUCUAAUACCGGAUACGACCAUCUGGCGCAUGUCAUGGUGGUGGAAAGCUUUUGUGGUUUUGGAUGGACUCGCGGCCUAUCAGCUUGUUGGUGGGGUAAUGGCCUACCAAGGCGACGACGGGUAGCCGGCCUGAGAGGGUGACCGGCCACACUGGGACUGAGACACGGCCCAGACUCCUACGGGAGGCAGCAGUGGGGAAUAUUGCACAAUGGGCGCAAGCCUGAUGCAGCGACGCCGCGUGAGGGAUGACGGCCUUCGGGUUGUAAACCUCUUUCAGUAGGGAAGAAGCGAAAGUGACGGUACCUGCAGAAGAGGCCGG
rnacentral:rRNA from 1 species